rnacentral:rRNA from 1 species
UUGCCUCAGUAACGGCGAGUGAAGCGGCAAUAGCUCAAAUUUGAAAUCUGGCUCUUUCAGAGUCCGAGUUGUAAUUUGUAGAGGAUGCUUCGGCUUACGUUUCGGUCUAAGUUCCUUGGAACAGGACGUCACAGAGGGUGAGAAUCCCGUUUGUGGCCGAGACUUCCGCCAUGUGAAGCUCCUUCGACGAGUCGAGUUGUUUGGGAAUGCAGCUCUAAAUGGGAGGUAUAUUUCUUCUAAAGCUAAAUACCGGCCAGAGACCGAUAGCGCACAAGUAGAGUGAUCGAAAGAUGAAAAGCACUUUGGAAAGAGAGUUAAAAAGUACGUGAAAUUGUUGAAAGGGAAGCGCUUGCGACCAGACUUGCCCGCGGAUGCUCAACCGGUCCUUCGGCCGGUGCACUCUUCCGCGGUCAGGCCAGCAUCAGUUCGAGCAGUUGGAUAAAGGCCUUGGGAAUGUGGCUCUCUUCGGGGAGUGUUAUAGCCCUUGGUGCAAUACAACUUGCCUGGACUGAGGCCCGCGCUUCGGCUAGGAUGCUGGCGUAAUGGUCGUAAGCGGCCCGUCUUGAAACACGGACCAAGGAGUCUAACAUCUAUGCGAGUGUUUGGGUGUCAAACCCGUGCGCGAAAUGAAAGUGAACGGAGGUGGGAACCCUUUGGGUGCACCAUCGACCGAUCCUGAUGUCUUCGGAUGGAUUUGAGUAAGAGCAUAGCUGUUGGGACCCGAAAGAUGGUGAACUAUGCCUGAAUAGGGUGAAGCCAGAGGAAACUCUGGUGGAGGCUCGCAGCGGUUCUGACGUGCAAAUCGAUCGUCAAAUUUGGGUAUAGGGGCGAAAGACUAAUCGA